rnacentral:rRNA from 1 species
AGCAGUCGCCGCGGGAAUACGAAGGGUGCAAGCGUUACUCGGAAUUACUGGGCGUAAAGCGUGCGUAGGUGGUGGUUUAAGUCCGUUGUGAAAGCCCUGGGCUCAACCUGGGAAUUGCAGUGGAUACUGGGUCACUAGAGUGUGGUAGAGGAUAGUGGAAUUUCCGGUGUAGCAGUGAAAUGCGUAGAGAUCGGAAGGAACAUCUGUGGCGAAGGCGACUAUCUGGGCCAACACUGACACUGAGGCACGAAAGCGUGGGGAGCAAACAGGAUUAGAUACCCGCGUAGUCCCUGUCUCUUAUAC